CGCGUAGGUGGUAGUGUAAGUCUGAGGUGGAAUCCCAGGGCUUAACUCUGGAACUGCCUUGGAAACUGCAUUACUUGAGUCAGUGAGGGGAGGGUAGAAUUCCUGGUGUAGCGGUGAAAUGCGUAGAUAUCAGGAGGAAGGCCUGUGGCGAAGGCGGCCCUCUGGUGCUGGACUGACACUGAGGCGCGAAAGCGUGGGGAGCAAACAGGAUUAGAUACCCUGGUAGUCCACGCCCUAAACGGUGGGCACUAGGUGUAGGGCUCGUAAGGGUUCUGUGCCGAAGGGAAACCAUUAAGUGCCCCGCCUGGGGAGUACGGCCGCAAGGUUGAA
rnacentral:rRNA from 1 species